UAAAAUACAUUUAAAAAUGUUUUUACUAUUUUAGUGACAUGUUAUGCAUUAACUAGUUUAGACACAGCACCAAUGCUGAAGUCAAACCUGGUUGGAUUAUUAGCAACCCUGAGGCAAUUGAAUAAAUGCAUUAAUCUGAGGAGAGACGGGAGCGAGCUGCUAAAAUCCUGCAGUUCAAUAGUUGUCCAGAAGAGGGAGGUCUACAAAUCAAGUGAUGGAGAAAAUAGAGGCAGAUGAGAAAGAUUUUCUCUGAGAACCUCGCCAAUUCUAAGCCAGCCUGAUACUUUCCAUGUGUCCUGCUCUAUGAUCUGUAUGAUGGGCUACAGCAGACAGUCAGGACGACGGGUGGAAACGGGUGGGAGCAUGUGGAAGAAAAGAAACAGGAGUGGGGGGGAGGUGGGGAUACUGCACCUUGAUACCAUUGGGUCGACUGUUAAGUUUUACAAGUAACGUUUUGUGAGCUUAUAAACGAUACUUUCUAAACUCGCACAGGAAACUCGGAAAGCACGCUGAGAUAAUAUUCCUCUGUGGAAUCCAGCCGAUAUCCUAUAGUCUGGAAUAUUCAGCGAUCUACAGAGGUAUCGAUUACAUAAGGACCAUUCCCAUCUUUGAUGACCUAAAGCUUGCCUAUAAAGUGUGCAAGGUUCUCCCUCCCUAUAGCUCUAAUAGUAAAGUAUUUCAUUGAGAUGUAAA